AUGAGUAACGACAAUGGGUGUGAAAAACACCCACGCCGAAAGACCAAGGGUUCCUGCGCAACGUUAAUCGACGCAGGGUUAGUCGGUUCCUAAGGCGAGGCUGAAAAGCGUAGUCGAUGGGAAACAGGUUAAUAUUCCUGUACUUCUGGUUACUGCGAUGGAGGGACGGAGAAGGCUAGGCCAGCUUGGCGUUGGUUGUCCAAGUUUAAGGUGGUAGGCUGAAAUCUUAGGUAAAUCCGGGGUUUCAAGGCCGAGAGCUGAUGACGAGUCGUCUUUUAGAUGACGAAGUGGUUGAUGCCAUGCUUCCAAGAAAAGCUUCUAAGCUUCAGGUAACCAGGAACCGUACCCCAAACCGACACAGGUGGUCGGGUAGAGAAUACCAAGGCGCUUGAGAGAACUCGGGUGAAGGAACUAGGCAAAAUGGCACCGUAACUUCGGGAGAAGGUGCGCCGGCUAGGGUGAAGGAUUUACUCCGUAAGCUCUGGCUGGUCGAAGAUACCAGGCCGCUGCGACUGUUUAUUAAAAACACAGCACUCUGCAAACACGAAAGUGGACGUAUAGGGUGUGACGCCUGCCCGGUGCCGGAAGGUUAAUUGAUGGGGUUAGCGCAAGCGAAGCUCUUGAUCGAAGCCCCGGUAAACGGCGGCCGUAACUAUAACGGUCCUAAGGUAGCGAAAUUCCUUGUCGGGUAAGUUCCGACCUGCACGAAUGGCGUAACGAUGGCGGCGCUGUCUCCACCCGAGACUCAGUGAAAUUGAAAUCGCUGUGAAGAUGCAGUGUAUCCGCGGCUAGACGGAAAGACCCCGUGAACCUUUACUGUAGCUUUGCACUGGACUUUGAGCCUGCUUGUGUAGGAUAGGUGGGAGGCUUUGAAGCGUGGACGCCAGUUCGCGUGGAGCCAUCCUUGAAAUACCACCCUGGCAUGCUUGAGGUUCUAACUCUGGUCCGUGAUCCGGAUCGAGGACAGUGUAUGGUGGGCAGUUUGACUGGGGCGGUCUCCUCCUAAAGAGUAACGGAGGAGUACGAAGGUGCGCUCAGACCGGUCGGAAAUCGGUCGCAGAGUAUAAAGGCAAAAGCGCGCUUGACUGCGAGACAGACACGUCGAGCAGGUACGAAAGUAGGUCUUAGUGAUCCGGUGGUUCUGUAUGGAAGGGCCAUCGCUCAACGGAUAAAAGGUACUCCGGGGAUAACAGGCUGAUACCGCCCAAGAGUUCAUAUCGACGGCGGUGUUUGGCACCUCGAUGUCGGCUCAUCACAUCCUGGGGCUGAAGCCGGUCCCAAGGGUAUGGCUGUUCGCCAUUUAAAGUGGUACGCGAGCUGGGUUUAGAACGUCGUGAGACAGUUCGGUCCCUAUCUGCCGUGGACGUUUGAGAUUUGAGAGGGGCUGCUCCUAGUACGAGAGGACCGGAGUGGACGAACCUCUGGUGUUCCGGUUGUCACGCCAGUGGCAUUGCCGGGUAGCUAUGUUCGGAAAAGAUAACCGCUGAAAGCAUCUAAGCGGGAAACUUGCCUCAAGAUGAGAUCUCACUGGGAACUUGAUUCCCCUGAAGGGCCGUCGAAGACUACGACGUUGAUAGGCUGGGUGUGUAAGCGUUGUGAGGCGUUGAGCUAACCAGUACUAAUUGCCCGUGAGGCUUGACCAU
rnacentral:rRNA from 1 species